rnacentral:sRNA from 2 species
UACUGUUACAAUUCAAUUCCCGAUGGGGUUCAUUUUUAAAUGAAUAUGCCUUGUAACCAAUAAUUUUAAAUGGGGGAAAAAUAUG